rnacentral:lncRNA from 1 species
UUGGUUUAGGAUUUAGGAUUUGAUUAGGAUUUGAUUUAGGAUUAGGAUUUGAUUAAGGUUUAAUUUAAGAUUUAGGAUUUGGUUAGGAUUUGAUUUAAGAUUUAGGAUUUGAUUAGGAUUUAGUCUAGGAUUUAAGAUUCGAUUAGGAUUUGAUUUAGGAUUUAGGAUUUAGGAUUUAAUUAGAGUUUAAUUUACGAUUUAAGAUUUGGUUAGGAUUUGAUUUAAGAUUUAGGAUUUGGUUUAGAAUUUAAGAUUUUGUUAGGAUUUGAUUAAGAUUUGGUUUAGGAUUUAGGAUUUGAUUAAGAUUUAAUUUAGGAUUAGGAUUUGAUUUAGGAUUAAGAUUUAGUUAGGAAUUAAUUCAUGAAUUAAGAUUUAUUUAGGAUUUAUUUAGGAUUUAUUUAGAAUUUAAGAUUUAGUUAGUUUUUGGCCUAAAGUUUGAUUAAAGUCCAAUAGGAUUUUAACUAAGAUCAAAUUAAGAUUGAAUUGAGAUUUAUUUGAAAUAUAUUUGUGAUCAUUCUA